GACGAACGCUGGCGGCGUGCUUAACACAUGCAAGUCGAGCGGUGAACCCGCUUCGGUGGGGGAUCAGUGGCGAACGGGUGAGUAACACGUGGGCAACCUGCCCCCGGCUCUGGGAUAACUCCAAGAAAUUGGGGCUAAUACCGGAUAUGACCGCUGGCCGCAUGGUCUGGUGGUGGAAAGAUUUAUCGGCUGGGGAUGGGCCCGCGGCCUAUCAGCUUGUUGGUGGGGUAGUGGCCUACCAAGGCGACGACGGGUAGCCGGCCUGAGAGGGUGACCGGCAACACUGGGACUGAGACACGGCCCAGACUCCUACGGGAGGCAGCAGUGGGGAAUAUGGCGCAAUGGGCGAAAGCCUGACGCAGCGACGCCGCGUGGGGGAUGACGGCCUUCGGGUUGUAAACCUCUUUCAGCAGGGACGAAGCCGUGAGGUGACGGUACCUGCAGAAGAAGCACCGGCCAACUACGUGCCAGCCGCCGCAGUAACAC
rnacentral:rRNA from 1 species